CCUACGGGAGGCAGCAGUGAGGAAUAUUGGUCAAUGGGCGGAAGCCUGAACCAGCCAAGUAGCGUGCAGGAUGACGGCCCUAUGGGUUGUAAACUGCUUUUAUACGGGAAUAACGCGCCUUACGUGUAGGGCUUUGCAUGUACCGUAUGAAUAAGGACCGGCUAAUUCCGUGCCAGCAGCCGCGGUAAUACGGAAGGUCAGGGCGUUAUCCGGAUUUAUUGGGUUUAAAGGGAGCGUAGGCCGCAUGUCAAGCGUGCUGUGAAAUGUCCGGGCUCAACCCGGGCCUUGCAGAGCGAACUGGCGUGAGUGAGUCCGCGGAAGGCAGGUGGAAUUCGUCGUGUAGCGGUGAAAUGCUUAGAUAUGACGAAGAACACCGAUGGCGAAGGCAGCUUGCUGCAGCGGAACUGACGCUGAUGCUCGAAAGCGCGGGUAGCGAACAGGAUUAGAUACCCCAGUAGUC
rnacentral:rRNA from 1 species